rnacentral:rRNA from 1 species
UGGCGGCGUGCUUAUACAUGCAAGUUCGAACGGAGGACUAGGAGGAAGCUUGUUUAAUCCUAGUCCUUAGUGGCGGACGGGUGAGUAACACGUGGAUAACCUGCCUGUAAGACCGGGACACCACCUGGAAACGGGUGCUAAUACCGGGUAAGCUCUUUUUGCCGCAUGGUGAGAAGAGGAGAGGGGAAACCCGCUUACAGAUGGAUCCGCGGCCCAUUAGCUAGUUGGCGGUGUAACCGACCUCCAAGGCGACGAUGGGUAACCGGCCUGAAAGGGUGAUCGGCCACACUGGAACUGAAACACGGUCCUGACUCCUACGGGAGGCAGCAAUGGGGAAUCUUCCGCAAUGGGCGAAAGCCUGACCGAGCACCCCCGCGUGAAUGAUGAAGGCCUUCGGGUUGUAAAAUUCUGUCUUCAGGGAAAAAAAAAAUGACGGUACCUGAGGAGGAAGCCCCCGGCUAACUACGUGCCAACAGCCGCGGUAAUACGUAUGGGGGCUA